GACGAACGCUGGCGGCGUGCUUAACACAUGCAAGUCGAACGGAAACUCCCUGCUUUUUUGGGCUCCUCUAGUUGCGACCGGGUGAGUAACCCUUGAGUUACCUGCCCUUCACUUUGGGAUAACUUCAUGACACUUGGUCUCAUACCGCCUAGGAUCUCCUGCUGCUUGGUGGGGCUUGGUUAGUUUCGGCGGUUGGGGAUGUACUCGCGUCUUAUCAGCUUGUUGGUGGGGUAGUGGCUUACCAUGGCUUUGACGGGUAGCCGGCCUGGGAGGGUGACCGGACACAUUGGGACUGAGAUACGGCCCAGACUAGUACGGGAGGCAGAGGUGGGGAAUAGAGCACAAUGGGAGGAAGGAAGAUGCAGCAACGCAGCGUGCGGGAAGACGGGAUGGGGGUUGUAAAGCGAUGUCGCCUGAGACGAAGCGAGAGUGACGGUAAUGGGUAAAGAAGCACCGGCUAACUACGUG
rnacentral:rRNA from 1 species